rfam:Homo sapiens chromosome 3, GRCh38 reference primary assembly.
UUUUCAUCUAUGAGGGUGUUUCCUCUAAACCUACGAGGGAGGAACACCUGAUCUUACAGAAAA